UACGGAGGGGGCUAGCGUUGUUCGGAAUUACUGGGCGUAAAGCGUACGUAGGCGGCUUUGUAAGUUAGAGGUGAAAGCCCGGGGCUCAACUCCGGAAUUGCCUUUAAGACUGCAUCGCUUGAAUCAUGGUGAGGUGAGUGGAAUUCCGAGUGUAGAGGUGAAAUUCGUAGAUAUUCGGAAGAACACCAGUGGCGAAGGCGACUCACUGGACAUGUAUUGACGCUGAGGUACGAAAGCGUGGGGAGCAAACAGG
rnacentral:rRNA from 1 species